GAGGGUAUAGCUCAGUGGUAGAGCAUGUGCUUAGCAUGCAUGAGGUCCUGGGUUCAAUCCCUAGUACCUCCA
rnacentral:tRNA from 1 species